GACGAACGCUGGCGGCGUGCCUAAUACAUGCAAGUCGAACGCAGUGGGGACGGGUGAGUAACACGUGGGUAACCUCCAAUCAGAGGGGAUAAAACUUGGAAACAGGUGCUAAACCGAUACUGAUGGAUGGACCCGGGGUGCAUUAGCCAGUGGGAGCGGUAACGGCUCACCAAGGCGACGAGGCAUAGCCGACCUGAGGGGGGGAUCGGCCACACUUGGACUGAGACACGGCCCAGACUCCUACGGGAGGCAGCAGUAGGGAAUCUUCGGCAAUGGACGAAAGUCUGACCGAGCAACGCCGCUUGAGUGAAGAAGGUUUUCGGAUCGUAAAACUCUUUUGUGAGAGAAGCGGUAUCUAACCAGAAAGCCACGGCUAACUACGUGCCAGCAGCCGCGGUAAUUC
rnacentral:rRNA from 1 species